GAUGAACGCUGGCGGCGUGCCUAAUACAUGCAAGUCGAGCGAACAGACGAGGAGCUUGCUCCUCUGACGUUAGCGGCGGACGGGUGAGUAACACGUGGAUAACCUACCUAUAAGACUGGGAUAACUUCGGGAAACCGGAGCUAAUACCGGAUAAUAUAUUGAACCGCAUGGUUCAAUAGUGAAAGACGGUUUUGCUGUCACUUAUAGAUGGAUCCGCGCCGCAUUAGCUAGUUGGUAAGGUAACGGCUUACCAAGGCAAUGAUGCGUAGCCGACCUGAGAGGGUGAUCGGCCACACUGGAACUGAGACACGGUCCAGACUCCUACGGGAGGCAGCAGUAGGGAAUCUUCCACAAUGGGCGAAAGCCUGACGGAGCAACGCCGCGUGAGUGAUGAAGGUCUUCGGAUCGUAAAACUCUGUUAUUAGGGAAGAACAAAUGUGUAAGUAACUAUGCACGUCUUGACGGUACCUAAUCAGAAAGCCACGGCUAACUACGUG
rnacentral:rRNA from 1 species